AUUGAACGCUGGCGGCAUGCCUUACACAUGCAAGUCGAACGGCAGCACGGGAGCAAUCCUGGUGGCGAGUGGCGAACGGGUGAGUAAUAUAUCGGAACGUGCCCAGUCGUGGGGGAUAACGCAGCGAAAGCUGUGCUAAUACCGCAUACGAUCUACGGAUGAAAGCGGGGGAUCGCAAGACCUCGCGCGAUUGGAGCGGCCGAUAUCAGAUUAGCUAGUUGGUGGGGUAAAGGCCCACCAAGGCGAGGAUCUGUAGCUGGUCUGAGAGGACGACCAGCCACACUGGAACUGAGACACGGGCCAGACUCCUACGGGAGGCAGCAGUGGGGAAUUUUGGACAAUGGGCGCAAGCCUGAUCCAGCAAUGCCGCGUGCAGGAUGAAGGCCUUCGGGUUGUAAACUGCUUUUGUACGGAACGAAACGGCUCCUUCUAAUACAAGGGGCUAAUGACGGUACCGUAAGAAUAAGCACCGGCUAACUACGUGCCAGCCGCCGCGGUAACAC
rnacentral:rRNA from 1 species